rnacentral:misc_RNA from 1 species
GGCUCAACUCCAGUUUCAUCCACCUCUUCAUCAUCCUGAGCAAUGGUUGAAGUCUCAGGCUUGGAAAUCACAUGGCUAAGAUCAGGAGCCUUAAACUGCUCUGCAGCCUGAGUCUGUAGUUGUGAGCUCAAGUCUUCAAUCUUGGCCUCCCCAAAGAUAACAUACGUGUCUGAUGUUGGGCUUUUAAAAACAUCCGGUUUUGAUAUAACAAACAAAAUAUUCUUGCUCUUUUUAACAGUAACACGACUAACACCAGGGAUAGGUUUCAUUCCAAGCUUCAACAUUGCUUUUCUACUCUUCUUUUCACUUCUGCUUUGCUUUGACCUACCACUUGCAUCUCCAUCUUGUUGUCCCUCAGCCUCAUCUUCAUCCUUGUCAUCAUCAUCAUCAUCCUCAUCGUCCUCCUCAUCCUCGUCCUCAACCACAUCCUCGAUCACAGGCUUAUCAGACUCGAGGAUCUUUUGAGCUUCGAGCUGAGCAGCGAG